rnacentral:rRNA from 1 species
AAACUAACUAGGAUUCCCUUAGUAACGGCGAGUGAACCGGGAUGAGCUCAAAUUUAAAAUCUGGCGUCUUUCAGGCGUCCGAGUUGUAAUCUAUAGAGGCGUUUUCCGCGCCGGACCGCGUCCAAGUCUCUUGGAAUAGAGUAUCAAAGAGGGUGACAAUCCCGUACUUGACGCGACAACCGGUGCUCUGUGAUACGUUCUCAAUGAGUCGAGUUGUUUGGGAAUGCAGCUCUAAAUGGGUGGUAAAUUCCAUCUAAGGCUAAAUAUUGGCGAGAGACCGAUAGCGAACAAGUACCGUGAGGGAAAGAUGAAAAGCACUUUGGAAAGAGAGUUAAACAGCACGUGAAAUUGUUAAAAGGGAAACGAUUGAAGUCAGUCGUGUGAAAGGUAUUCAGCCGUCUCUGGCGGUGUAUUUGCCUUUCACGGGUCAACAUCAGUUUGAUCCGGUAGAAAAAGGCGGGAGGAAGGUGGCACCCUCGGGUGUGUUAUAGCCUCCUGUCAUAUGUGCCGGACCAGACUGAGGAACGCAGCUUGCCGCAAGGCCGGGGUUCGCCCACGUACAAGCUUAGGAUGUUGACAU